AACUCGCAGGAUUCAGGGGACCGUAGUCCACCUUUAUCCGCAUUACUCGCUCCACACGAGUUCGAGUACUAAAGAACUCGUGGGGGCAACUGUCAAGCAUGCUGACUAAACCGAAGGCAACAAAUAUAAUCCGAAGGCAACAUUUAAUAACUGGGUACAAGGUGAUUUAAGAAAAUAUAAAGUGUUUGAAGCAAAACUGUUGAAUAAGUAACUUU
rnacentral:lncRNA from 1 species